GCAGAAGGCACCGUCUUCGGACGGUGUAAUGCACAAAGCAGGUCCUAAGUCCUG
rnacentral:ribozyme from 1 species